rnacentral:rRNA from 1 species
UACGGGGGGGGCAAGCGUUGUUCGGAAUUACUGGGCGUAAAGGGCUCGUAGGCGGCCAACUAAGUCGGAUGUGAAAUCCCCAGGCUUAACCUGGGAACUGCAUCCGAUACUGGAUGGCUUGAAUUCGGGAGAGGGAUGCAGAAUUCCAGGUGUAGCGGUGAAAUGCGUAGAUAUCUGGAGGAAUACCGGUGGCGAAGGCGGCAUCCUGGACCGACAUUGACGCUGAGGAACGAAAGCUUGGGGAGCAAACGGG